rnacentral:tRNA from 1 species
GGGGUUGUGGCUCAGCGGUAGAGUGCUCGCCUAGCACGUGGGAAGCCAUGGGUUCAAUCCUCAGCACCACA